CCAUUUAUGAUAUAUACUAGUAAUAAUCAUGUUUAGAUUACGAGGAAUAUCUUUUUUAAUUAGAAUUAUUUUCUAUCUUUUAAAUAUUGCUACUACCUCAGGUCUACCACUUGAUGGUAGUAUUUGUUUCAACGUAACUUUACUAAAAUCGACAUGUUUGUCGACUUGUGGCGACCAUGUCUGUAAGUUUGGAAGUCAUUGUGGGGAUGACGGACGCUGUCUCUAUUGUACAGAUACUGACUGUGACAACCAUUCCCCAGGAUGCGAAAUUUUCUGCUUAUUGAAGAGCAGAGAUGUUGAUAAACCGUAUUUAAACUGUGGAAACAUAUCCGUAUCUAAAAGCUUAAAUGAAGUGGAACUUCUGUCAAAUCAUUACUUUCUCACGUCUCUUGCGUUAAAUCUGACCCUAAUUUUGGUGAUCAUCUGUAUGCAAAGACAAUGGAUAGCUACAAACGUGCUUGCAAGGAUGUCUGUGAGGCGAAA